rnacentral:lncRNA from 1 species
AUGUUUUCACUGACUUCUACCAGGAAGAAGUCGUGUGUCUGCCUGCCUCUGCCGAGUGGGAACAGGAAUUAUGAGAUGUCUCUUUGGAUUUAUGCUGCUGCAGGGUUCAUCAAAGGCCCUUCCCUGCCUGGAUGUCCUUGCUGGAAAGACUCGAGCCUGGAGCAUCCCCAGCCGGGAGGAAUGGAGCACCACAAGGGGCGGAUUUGGUUCUGGUGUUGGUCUCAUGGCAAGGAGGGACCAAAAGCAAGCCUAUGGUGUAGCAUCUUGUCAUUCGGCUGUGAGAAAGGUACUGGGAACCCCGGUGUGCACCCAGGCUCCACAGUCACUCCUCUGCUGGGUACGUGCUGCUGUGCUUCCGGACAGCCCGCCUGGCACCCUGCUGGGCUUUCCCUCCCUUCCUUACAGAAACCUCGUCAUCAGCAGUCACUUCUUCCUCCCGUGUCUGCUCACAAUCAGAGAAGAAGCUGCAGUCAUUGUUUUGCCUGCCCUGCAACUUUAUAGAUUAACCUGAUGCUUCUGGCUGCCGUAAUCUGAUGAGGAGUGCAAGGUACUGGCAUCUAGAAGUCACAGUGAUGGGUGCUUUACGGAUGGCUAGGUAUCUAAAAAUAGAGGCAGAAGACAGUGCUGCUCGUAUGUUUUAAGCAGAAGAACAAGCAAUGAAAGCUUUUCCAGAAAUGCUUGAGGGAGCAGCAGGCUUUCCAUUUAAGGCUGUAUUAUUUCAUUGGAUAAUCUGAUUAAACAUGGAGGUUAUGUGAGGACUUCAUUCAACCCUCCGUGGAAACUGCUGCGUAUAUGUGAAAGUGGCAUCACAAUCGACUGUAUGCGAGGGAGAGUUACGAUAAACGCUUUUCUUGAGGCUAUUGCUCUGGAGAAAUCGGUGGCAGAUGCGUCGUGCCACUGUUUGGAUAAAAGCGCUCUUCUCUCCCAGAUGAAUUGCUUUAUGAACUGCUCUGAUUUGUCCCUUUCCAAAAUAAUUGAUUAAAUCUGAGUCAUCGGUACCGGGUAUUUUUCUUUGAAUGCGCCCUCUUUUAUUUAUCCUGUUAUUUACGUGCUGGGCGUACAUAUACGUACGCCAAAUGUGCGUGCUCUUGCAGUGACGCUGCUGCUGCAUGAAUGGACCUAAUUGAAAGGCGCUGAGGCUGCUAUUAGAUCCCUGUGAUUUUGGUAGCAGUCACACUGGUCCUGUGAGCUGAGCACACUGAAUAUAUUUAACUCGCUGCUUCUUCUGUGCCUGAGCAAGGGACUUGCCAUGCCCUGUGGUUGGCUGUUUAUUAGCACAGUUUAAUGGCUGGCUAUAAAUAGAAAUAAACGGAGGUGCAGACUGCGACCUGCUUGCCUA